rnacentral:rRNA from 1 species
GUGAGGAAUAUUGCGCAAUGGAGGCAACUCUGACGCAGCCAUGCCGCGUGCAGGAAGAAGGCGCUACGCGUUGUAAACUGCUUUUAACCGGGAAGAAACCCCAGGACGUGUCCUGGGUUGACGGUACCGGAGGAAUAAGCACCGGCUAACUUCGUGCCAGCAGCCGCGGUAAUACGAAGGGUGCAAGCGUUAUCCGGAUUCAUUGGGUUUAAAGGGUGCGUAGGCGGAGCGUUAAGUCAGUGGUGAAAUCCUGCAGCUUAACUGUAGACUUGCCAUUGAUACUGGCGCUCUUGAGUGCGCUUGAAGUGGGCGGAAUGUGCCGUGUAGCGGUGAAAUGCUUAGAUAUGGUACAGAACACCAAUUGCGAAGGCAGCUCACUAAGGCGAUACUGACGCUGAGGCACGAAAGCGUGGGGAUCGAACAGGAUUAGAAACCCUAGUAGUCC